GACGAACGCUGGCGGCGUGCUUAACACAUGCGAGUCGAACGGAAAGGCCCUGCUUGCCGGGUGCUCGAGUGGCGAACGGGUGAGUAACACGUGGGUGAUCUGCCCCUUAUUUUGGGAUAAGCCUGGGAAACUGGGUCUAAUACUGGAUAGGACCAUGCUGUAGGUGGUGUGGUGGAAAGAUUAGUUUCGGUAAGGGAUGAGCUCGCGGCCUAUCAGCUUGUUGGUGGGGUAAUGGCCUACCAAGGCGUCGACGGGUAGCCGGCCUGAGAGGGUGGACGGCCACAUUGGGACUGAGAUACGGCCCAGACUCCGACGGGAGGCAGCAGUGGGGAAUAUUGCACAAUGGGCGCAAGCCUGAUGCAGCGACGCCGCGUGGGGGAUGACGGCCUUCGGGUUGUAAACUCCUUUCAGCCAUGACGAAGCCCUUGUGGUGACGGUAAUGGUAGAAGAAGCACCGGCUAACUACGU
rnacentral:rRNA from 1 species